rnacentral:rRNA from 1 species
AUGCCUACGGGGGGCAGCAGUGAGGAAUAUUGGUCAAUGGGCGGGAGCCUGAACCAGCGACGCCGCGUGAGUGAAGAAGUAUUUCGGUAUGUAAAGCUCUAUCAGCAGGGAAGAAAGAAAUGACGGUACCUGACUAAGAAGCCCCGGCUAACUACGUGCCAGCAGCCGCGGUAAUACGUAGGGGGCAAGCGUUAUCCGGAUUUACUGGGCGUAAAGGGAGCGUAGACGGCGAUGCAAGUCUGAAGUGAAAGGCGGGGGCCCAACCCCCGGACUGCUUUGGAAACUGUAUGGCUGGAGUGCAGGAG